rnacentral:rRNA from 1 species
AGAGUUUGAUCCUGGCUCAGGAUGAACGCUAGCUACAGGCUUAACACAUGCAAGUCGAGGGGAAACGACAUCGAAAGCUUGCUUUUGAUGGGCGUCGACCGGCGCACGGGUGAGUAACGCGUAUCCAACCUGCCCACCACUUGGGGAUAACCUUGCGAAAGUAAGACUAAUACCCAAUGACGUCUCUAGAAGACAUCUGAAAGGGAUUAAAGAUUUAUCGGUGAUGGAUGGGGAUGCGUCUGAUUAGCUUGUUGGCGGGGUAACGGCCCACCAAGGCUACGAUCAGUAGGGGUUCUGAGAGGAAGGUCCCCCACAUUGGGAACUGAGACACGGGCCCAAAACUCCUACGGGGAGGAC